GAUGAACGCUGGCGGCGUGCCUAAUACAUGCAAGUCGAGCGAACAGACGAGGAGCUUGCUCCUCUGACGUUAGCGGCGGACGGGUGAGUAACACGUGGAUAACCUACCUAUAAGACUGGGAUAACUUCGGGAAACCGGAGCUAAUACCGGAUAAUAUAUUGAACCGCAUGGUUCAAUAGUGAAAGACGGUUUUGCUGUCACUUAUAGAUGGAUCCGCGCCGCAUUAGCUAGUUGGUAAGGUAACGGCUUACCAAGGCAACGAUGCGUAGCCGACCUGAGAGCGUGAUCGGCCACACUGGAGCUGAGACGCGGUCCAGACUCCUACGGGAGGCAGCAGUAGGGAAUCUUCCGCAAUGGGCGAAAGCCUGACGGAGCAACGCCGCGUGAGUGAUGACGGUCUUCGGAUCGUAAAACUCUGUUAUUAGGGAAGAACAAAUGUGUAAGUAACUAUGCACGUCUUGACGGUACCUAAUCAGAAAGCCACGGCUAACUACGUG
rnacentral:rRNA from 1 species